rnacentral:rRNA from 1 species
UGGGGAAUAUUGCACAAUGGGCGAAAGCCUGAUGCAGCAACGCCGCGUGAGGGACGACGGCCUUCGGGUUGUAAACCUCUUUUAGCAAGGAAGAAGCGAAAGUGACGGUACUUGCAGAAAAAGCGCCGGCUAACUACGUGCCAGCAGCCGCGGUAAUACGUAGGGCGCAAGCGUUAUCCGGAAUUAUUGGGCGUAAAGAGCUCGUAGGCGGUUUGUCGCGUCUGCUGUGAAAACCCGAGGCUCAACCUCGGGCCUGCAGUGGGUACGGGCAGACUAGAGUGCGGUAGGGGAGAUUGGAACUCCUGGUGUAGCGGUGGAAUGCGCAGAUAUCAGGAAGAACACCGAUGGCGAAGGCAGAUCUCUGGGCCGUAACUGACGCUGAGGAGCGAAAGGGUGGGGAGCAAACAGGCUUAGAUACCCUGGUAGUCCACCCCGUAAACGUUGGGAACUAGUUGUGGGGUCCAUUCCACGGAUUCCGUGACGCAGCUAACGCAUUAAGUUCCCCGCCUGGGGAGUACGGCCGCAAGGUUAAAAACCUC